AAAACAUGUCCUUUUGUUUAUUUAAAGGUCUGGCCUGCCCAGUGAUUAAUUUAACGGCCGCGGUAUAUUGACCGUGCAAAGGUAGCAUAAUCAUUAGUCUUUUAAUAGGGGGCUAGUAUGAAAGGUUAAACGAAACAUUAACUGUCUUAUUUGUAAUUAUUAGAAUUUAACUUUUGAGUCAAAAGGCUCAAAUUUUUUUGGAGGACGAGAAGACCCUAUAGAGCUUUACAUUAGAUUUUUUAAUAUUUGCUGGUUAAAUGUUUUAGUUUUAAUUUAUCUACUGUUUUGUUGGGGUGACAAUAAAAUAUAAUUAACUUUUUAGAUCAUUUACACUAAUUUGUGAUUAUUUGAUCCAUUAAUAUUGAUCAUUAGAUUAAGUUACCUUAGGGAUAACAGCGUAAUCUUCCUCAGGAGUUCAAAUUUACAGGAAGGGUUGCGACCUCGAUGUUGGAUUAAGAUAAUAGUUAGGUGCAGUAGCUUAAUAAAUAGGUCUGUUCGACCUUUAAAUUCUU
rnacentral:rRNA from 1 species